rnacentral:rRNA from 1 species
UGGGGAAUAUUGGACAAUGGGCGCAAGCCUGAUCCAGCCAUGCCGCGUGAGUGACGAAGGCCUUAGGGUUGUAAAGCUCUUUUGGCGGGGACGAUAAUGACGGUACCCGCAGAAUAAGCCCCGGCUAACUUCGUGCCAGCAGCCGCGGUAAUACGAAGGGGGCUAGCGUUGUUCGGAAUCACUGGGCGUAAAGCGCACGUAGGCGGAUUUGUUAGUCAGGGGUGAAAUCCCGGGGCUCAACCUCGGAACUGCCUUUGAUACUGCAAGUCUCGAGUCCGAGAGAGGUGAGUGGAAUUCCUAGUGUAGAGGUGAAAUUCGUAGAUAUUAGGAAGAACACCAGUGGCGAAGGCGGCUCACUGGCUCGGUACUGACGCUGAGGUGCGAAAGCGUGGGGAGCAAACAGGAUUAGAUACCCCCGUAGUCC